rnacentral:rRNA from 1 species
AUUGAACGCUGGCGGCAGGCCUAACCCAUGCAAGUCGAGCGGAACGGCGGACGGGUGAGUAAUGCCUAGGAAUCUGCCUGGUAGUGGGGGACAACGUCCGGAAACGGGCGCUAAUACCGCAUUCUAUCAGAUGAGCCUAGGUGGGAUUAGCUAGUUGGUCGGGUAAAGGCCUACCAAGGUGACGAUCCGUAACUGGUCUGCGAGGAUGAUCAGUCACACUGGAACUGACACAUGGUCCAGAUUCCUUCGGGAGGCAGCAGUGGGGAAUAGUUGAAAAUGGGCGAAAUGCUGAGCCAGCCAUGCGGCGUGAGUGAAGAAGGUUUUCGGAUUGUAAAGCACUUUAAGUUGAGAAGCGUUACUGACAGAGUAAGCAACGGCUAACCACGUGCCAGCAGCCGCGGUAAUAA